rnacentral:piRNA from 1 species
UGAGCUCUAACACUCGCAGUGAAGGUC